UGGGGAAUUUUGGACAAUGGGCGCAAGCCUGAUCCAGCCAUGCCGCGUGCGGGAAGAAGGCCUUCGGGUUGUAAACCGCUUUGUCAGGGAAGAAAUCCUCUGAGUUAAUACCUCGGGAGGAUGACGGUACCUGAAGAAUAAGCACCGGCUAACUACGUGCCAGCAGCCGCGGUAAUACGUAGGGGUGCAAGCGUUAAUCGGAAUUACUGGGCGUAAAGCGUGCGCAGGCGGUUUUGUAAGACAGAGGUGAAAUCCCCGGGCUCAACCUGGGAACUGCCUUUGUGACUGCAAGGCUUGAGUGCGGCAGAGGGGGGAUGGAAUUCCGCGUGUAGCAGUGAAAUGCGUAGAUAUGCGGAGGAACACCGAUGGCGAAGGCAAUCCCCUGGGGCCUGCACUGACGCUCAUGCACGAAAGCGUGGGGAGCAAAACAGGAUUAGAUACCCCUGGUAGUCCACGCCCUAAACGAUGUCAACUGGUUGUUGGGAAGGUUCCCUUCUCAGUAACGUAGCUAACGCGUGAAG
rnacentral:rRNA from 1 species